rnacentral:rRNA from 1 species
GAACUUUCCAGAGAUGGAUUGGUGCCUUCGGGAACUGUGAGACAGGUGCUGCAUGGCUGUCGUCAGCUCGUGUUGUGAAAUGUUGGGUUAAGUCCCGCAACGAGCGCAACCCUUAUCCUUUGUUGCCAGCGGUCCGGCCGGGAACUCAAAGGAGACUGCCAGUGAUAAACUGGAGGAAGGUGGGGAUGACGUCAAGUCAUCAUGGCCCUUACGACCAGGGCUACACACGUGCUACAAUGGCGCAUACAAAGAGAAGCGAC